rnacentral:rRNA from 2 species
ACUCUGGUAUUGAUUGGUGCUUGCAUCAUGAUUUACAUUUGAGUUGAGUUGGCGAACUUGGUGAGUAACACGUGGGAAACCUUGCCCAGAAGCGGGGGAUAACACCUGGAAACAGAUGCUAAUACCGCAUAACAACUUGGACCGCAUGGUCCGAGUUUGAAAGAUGGCUUCGGCUAUCACUUUUGGAUGGUCCCGCGGCGUAUUAGCUAGAUGGUGGGGUAACGGCUCACCAUGGCAAUGAUACGUAGCCGACCUGAGAGGGUAAUCGGCCACAUUGGGACUGAGACACGGCCCAAACUCCUACGGGAGGCAGCAGUAGGGAAUCUUCCACAAUGGACGAAAGUCUGAUGGAGCAACGCCGCGUGAGUGAAGAAGGGUUUCGGCUCGUAAAACUCUGUUGUUAAAGAAGAACAUAUCUGAGAGUAACUGUUCAGGUAUUGACGGUAUUUAACCAGAAAGCCACGGCUAACUACGUGCCAGCAGCCGCGGUAAUACGUAGGUGGCAAGCGUUGUCCGGAUUUAUUGGGCGUAAAGCGAGCGCAGGCGGUUUUUUAAGUCUGAUGUGAAAGCCUUCGGCUCAACCGAAGAAGUGCAUCGGAAACUGGGGAAACUUGAGUGCAGAAGAGGACAGUGGAACUCCAUGUGUAGCGGUGAAAUGCGUAGAUAUAUGGAAGAACACCAGUGGCGAAAGCGGCUGUCUGGUCUGUAACUGACGCU